rnacentral:rRNA from 1 species
GGUUCGACUCCGGAGAGGGAGCCUGAGAAACGGCUACCACAUCCAAGGAAGGCAGCAGGCGCGCAAAUUACCCACUCUCGGCACGAGGAGGUAGUGACGAAAAAUAACGAGACGGAUCUCUUUGAGGCCCGUUAUCGGAAUGAGAACAAUUCAAAUCCUUUAACGAGGAUCUAGCGGAGGGCAAGUCUGGUGCCAGCAGCCGCGGUAAUUCCAGCUCCGCAGGUGUAUAUCUAUGCUGCUGCGGUUAAAAAGCUCGUAGUUGGAUCUGCGUGCUCGGAACUGGUUGGCUCACUGAGUUCAAACUGGUCUCCGGCGCUUUAUUGGCUGGUUUUCCCUUGAUGCUCUUAACCGGGUGUCUUGGGUGGCUAGCACGUUUACUUUGAAAAAAUUAGAGUGCUCAAUACAGGCGUAAAGCCUUGAAUAGUGGUGCAUGGAAUAAUAGAAUAGGACCUCGGCUCUAUUUUGUUGGUUUUCGGAACGCGAGGUAAUGAUUAAGAGGGACAGACGGGGGCAUUCGUAUUGCGACGUUAGAGGUGAAAUUCUUGGAUCGUCGCAAGACGGACGACUGCGAAAGCAUUUGCCAAGAAUGUUUUCAUUAAUCAAGAACGAAAGUUAGAGGUUCGAAGGCGAUCAGAUACCGCCCUAGUUCUAACCGUAAACGAUGCCAACUAGCGAUUCGCAGGCGUUAAACAACGACCUUGCGGGCAGCUUCCCGGAAACGAAAGUGUUCGGGUUCUGGGGGAAGUAUGGUUGCAAAGCUGAAACUUAAAGGAAUUGACGGAAGGGCACCACCAGGAGUGGAGCCUGCGGCUUAAUUUGACCCAACACGGGAAAACUCACCCGGCCCGGACACCGUAAGGAUUGACAGAUUGAGAGCUCUUUCUUGAUUCGGUGGGUGGUGGUGCAUGGCCGUUCUUAGUUGGUGGAGCGAUUUGUCUGGUUUAUUCCGAUAACGAACGAGACUCUGGCCUACUAAAUAGUGGGCGGAUUCUUUCUGUCCGCAACACUUCUUAGAGGGACAAGCGGUGUUCAGCCGCACGAGAUUGAGCAAUAACAGGUCUGUGAUGCCCUUAGAUGUCCGGGGCUGCACGCGCGCUACACUGAAGGAAUCAGCGUGCUUUCUGACCUUGCCCGAAAGGGCUGGGUAACCCGAUGAAAAUCCUUCGUGAUUGGGAUAGGGACUUGCAAUUAUUUCCCUUGAACGAGGAAUUCCCAGUAAGUGUGGGUCAUAAGCUCGCGUUGAUUACGUCCCUGCCCUUUGUACACACCGCCCGUCGCUGCCCGGAACUGAGCCGUUUCGAGAAGAACAGGGACCGUCGUUGAAGGGCCUUAACGGGCUUUUCUCUGAUAGAAACUGUUUUAAUCGCAGUGGCUUGAACCGGGCAAAAGUCGUAACAAGGUU